AGAGUACCCGUCUUUUUUGCAGGUUGAAACCUGAGUGGGGAUUUGAAGAAAAGUGAAUUAGCUCGGCCAGUUUCUUUUAGAGGAUCAUCCAAACAGAGGACAAAAGUAGAUCUUGCAACUUCUUUUUUCAUUACUUCUUGGAUCGCUCUCUUCGUGCAUCCUUAGAUGCGAUAGAAACCAAAGUAAAGACAGCUAGGACCAAAUUAUUUAGAGAGCAAUAAUCAAUCCUGCUCCCUUUAGACAGGAUUGCAAGCAUGGAAAAACCUCAGUCAGCUUCUCCUGAGAGGGUGCAGCACAAAGUAUAUCAUCCAUAUAAUGAACAAUAUAGCAUUUAGGAAAUGGUUGUUGGCCUGGCUCAACAACUGAAGCCACAUAAUACUGACACAAGUUUCACAGCACCUGUUCUUCAGCCCCAUCCUACUGAGAUGGUCUUGGCAAGUGACACCCAACGUGGGGCAGGCAGGCAUGAAGAACGAAGGACCGUGACGACAACAGAAUUUUUAUUCACUAGAAGUGCUGUGGAGCCCUGAGAAGAAGGGAGGAAUUUUGGGUGACUACGCUAAAGAAAUCCUGCAGUAUAUCACUCCAUGAUGAAUUCUUCCAAAUCAGCCUAUUUAGAUUACUUUGGCAGAAUCCAUGGAAUUCUACUGUAUAAAAAAUUUAUCGAAUAUUGGAAUGAUGUGGAGACAUUUGAGGCAAGACCAGAUGACCUUGUCAUUGUCACCUAUCCCAAAUCUGGCACAACGUGGGUUAGUGAAAUUGUGUACAUGAUUUAUACAGAGGGCGAUGUGGAAAAGUGCAAAGAAGAUACCAUUUUUAAUCGAAUUCCUUACCUGGAAUGCAGAACUGAAAAUGUAAUGAAUGGAGUAAAACAAUUAAAACAGAUGGCAUCUCCUAGAAUAGUGAAGUCUCAUCUGCCACCUGAGCUUCUUCCAGUCUCGUUUUGGGAAAAGAACUGUAAGAUCAUCUAUGUUUGCCGGAAUGCCAAGGAUGUGGUCGUUUCUUAUUACUAUUUCUUUCUAAUGGUGACUGCUAAUCCGGAUCCUGGUUCUUUCCAAGAUUUUGUGGAGAAGUUCAUGGAUGGAGAAGUUCCUUAUGGUUCCUGGUAUAAACAUACAAAAUCCUGGUGGGAAAAGAGAACGAAUCCACAAGUGCUGUUUAUUUUCUAUGAAGACAUGAAGGAGAAUAUCAGAAAAGAGGUGAUGAGAUUGAUAGAAUUUCUGGGAAGGAAGGCAUCAGAUGAGCUUGUGGACAAGAUUAUAAAACAUACUUCAUUCCAAGAGAUGAAGAACAAUCCAUCUACCAAUUACACAACACUUCCAGAUGAAGUCAUGAACCAAAAAGUAUCUGCCUUUAUGAGAAAGGGGAUUGCAGGAGACUGGAAGAAUUACUUUACAGUAGCCCUGAAUGAGAAAUUUGACAUUCACUAUGAGCAGCAAAUGAAGGGGUCUACACUGAAGUUACGAACAGAGAUCUAGGAAAGUUUUUGUGGUUACAUCUGAGAUUAAAGUGUUAUCACUUCUUACCUCUGUUAUUUCAGACUGGUGGAGAAUGAAUCAGGCUAAAAAGAUCAUGGUUGAGUUCAUGUGAUUUUUGAGAUCUUCAUAUCAAAAACAAGAAAGAUUUUUUUACCUUGUUAUCUGUUUUAAUUUUGUUUCCUUUUUUACAAAUAUUGCAAAAAUCUAUAACCUGUGAGAAUGAUGUGGGAACACACAAAUUGUUCAAGUUGUUAGAGCCUCAUCGAAAAUAACCAAGCAUUCCAAAUUCUUUAAUUGUGUGAUUACUUUUUUCCAUUUAUUGGUACAUUUAGUAUAUACAACAUACAUAUAUAUACAUAUACACAUAAAUAUAUAUUAAUAACUGAACAUGGAUUUUGAAAACCUUGUUGGAAAAAAUUAAAGAAUAAUUAAAUAUGAGGGCAUAACUAGAUCUAUUAUUUCCUUCCUGAUAUUUUCUUUCACCUUCUGCAAAAUGGCUUAAUUUGGAAUUUUAUUUAGUCUAAUGUAAAUGUGAGGCAUAACAGAACUGAUUUCCAGAUGUCUAUAAAUGAUCCCAAUGAGUGUUAUUUAUGCAUAAAUAUCUCCAAAUGAUUUGAAAUAUUUAUGUUCUAGAGUUCUUUCUGUUCUAUAACAAUACAAUACAAUGUUAUAAAUGUAAGCUCUGUAAACUAAAGUUUUUUUUAAUGUAUCUUUUUAUGUAUCUUUUUUUUAUUACUCAAAUGAAUUUUAUCACAUCUGUAGUUGUAUAAUGAUCAUAACAAUUUAAUUUCACAGGAUUUCCAUCCCACAGCCCAGGCACAUCCCCCACCCCCCAAACUGUCUCCUCUGGAGACCAUAAGUUUUUCAAUGUCUGUGAGUCAGCAUCUGUUCUGCAAAGAGUAAACUAAAGUUUUAAAGAAUGUGAUAUUUACCAGUAAAAUAAAAUAAAAACAAAAGU
rnacentral:lncRNA from 1 species